GGGCAGUACUGGCAUUCUUGGAUCCCACAUUGCACAUAGAUAUGUAAGAAGAUACAGAGAAGUCAUGUUAAUGCAGCAUAAUGGAUGCUAUAAAGAUCAGUCAUGGCAAGCUCCAAGUAUUUUCCUCUGACACAUGACACAGCAUAAAACCAGAGAGGAAAGGGUUACAGAGCAGAGAGUACUGAUUGGCUGACUGCACAGGCUUGCUCCUGUGAGGAAGACAGACUGACACGCCCCCUCCAGCCUGCACAAUGAAAAAGGCUGGUGGGUGAAGCCUAAUGUCUAUGGCAGUGUACGGCGUCCAUUUUAGGACAUCGUCAGUCGUCAGCCAUAACUCCGUCCCACGCUGUCCUCCAUCGGACCAAUCGCUGUCAGUCGUCAUCCGCAACUCCAUUCCCCGUCAGGUGAAACAGCAUUCCGCCUCCUGCCUCACACCAAUCACCGUCAUCCUUCAGCCACAACUCCCUCCUCCCUCAUCUGAAACUCCCUCUUCCAAAACGCCAUCAUGCCUCAGACGAUUCUCCCUCAGACACAAUUUCCUGCCGCAUAGUAGAGUUUUUAACUGUGUGAUAUAUACACUGUUUGUUAUGUGACCUAA